CCCUUAGAUGUUCUGGGCCGCACGCGCGCUACACUGACUAGUCCAACGAGUUAUACCCUGGACUCGACAGGUCUGGGUAAUCUUUUAAACGCUAGUCGUGACAGGGAUUGGCUUUUGCAAUUAUGGGCCAUGAACGAGGAAUACCUAGUACACGCGAUUCAUCAAAUCGCGCGGAUUACGUCCCUGCCCUUUGUACACACCGCCCGUCGCACCUACCGAUUGAAUGGUCCGGUGAAACCUCCGGACUGGACACCAGCCCUGUGCUGGUGGCUAGAAAGUUGGUUAAAUCUUACCAUUUAGAGGAAGGUGAAGUCGUAACA
rnacentral:rRNA from 1 species